UACGUAGGGGGCAAGCGUUGUCCGGAAUUAUUGGGCGUAAAGAGCUUGUAGGCGGUCUGUCGCGUCUGCUGUGAAAAUCCGGGGCUCAACCCCGGACUUGCAGUGGGUACGGGCAGACUAGAGUGUGGUAGGGGAGACUGGAAUUCCUGGUGUAGCGGUGAAAUGCGCAGAUAUCAGGAGGAACACCGAUGGCGAAGGCAGGUCUCUGGGCCACUACUGACGCUGAUGCGCGAAAGCCAGGGGAGCGAACGGG
rnacentral:rRNA from 1 species